rnacentral:miRNA from 14 species
AGCUGUGUCCUCAUAUUGCCCUU